rnacentral:rRNA from 1 species
GACGAACGCUGGCGGCGUGCUUAACACAUGCAAGUCGAACGGAAAGGCCCCUUUGGGGGUUCUCGAGUGGCGCACGGGUGCGUAACACGUGUGUAACCUUCCCUUGACUUCGGGAUAACUUCAGGAAACUGGGGCUAAUACCGGCUAGGAAUCCUUGCUGCAUGGUGGGGGUUGGAAAGCUUCGGCGGUUUUGGAUGGACUCGCGUCUUAUCAGCUAGUUGGUGGGGUAGUGGCUUACCAAGGCUUGGACGGGUAGCUGGCCUGAGAGGGGGACCGGCCACACGGGAACUGCGAGACGGUCGAGAAUCCUACGGGAGGCGGCGGUGGGGAGUAUUGGACGAUGGGCGAAAGCCUGAGCCAGGCAUGCCGCGUGUGUGAAGAAGGUCUUCGGAUUGUAAAGCAGUGUAAGGUGGGAGGAAGGGCAGUAAGUUAAUACCUUGCUGUUUUGACGUUACCAACAGAAUAAGCACCGGCUAACUUCGUG